AUGCUGGAGGUAUCAGAAGUGCGAAUGCUGACAUAAGUAACGAUAAAGCGGGUGAAAAGCCCGCUCGCCGGAAGACCAAGGGUUCCUGUCCAACGUUAAUCGGGGCAGGGGGAGUCGACCCCUAAGGCGAGGCCGAAAGGCGUAGUCGAUGGGAAACAGGUUAAUAUUCCUGUACUUGGUGUUACUGCGAAGGGGGGACGGAGAAGGCUAUGUUGGCCGGGCGACGGUUGUCCCGGUUUAAGCGUGUAGGCUGGUUUUCCAGGUAAAUCCGGAAAAUCAAGGCUGAGGCGUGAUGACGAGGCACUACGGUGCUGAAGCAACAAAUGCCCUGCUUCCAGGAAAAGCCUCUAAGCAUCAGGUAACAUCAAAUCGUACCCCAAACCGACACAGGUGGUCAGGUAGAGAAUACCAAGGCGCUUGAGAGAACUCGGGUGAAGGAACUAGGCAAAAUGGUGCCGUAACUUCGGGAGAAGGCACGCUGAUAUGUAGGUGAAGCGACUU
rnacentral:rRNA from 1 species